rnacentral:rRNA from 1 species
CUACGUGCCAGCAGCCGCGGUAAUACGUAGGGUGCGGGCGUUAAUCGGAAUUACUGGGCGUAAAGCGAGCGCAGACGGUUACUUAAGCAGGAUGUGAAAUCCCCGGGCUUAACCUGGGAACUGCGUUCUGAACUGGGUAACUAGAGUGUGUCAGAGGGAGGUAGAAUUCCACGUGUAGCAGUGAAAUGCGUAGAGAUGUGGAGGAAUACCGAUGGCGAAGGCAGCCUCCUGGGAUAACACUGACGUUCAUGCUCGAAAGCGUGGGUAGCAAACAGGAUUAGAUACCCUGGUAGUCCACGCCCUAAACGAUGUCAAUUAGCUGUUGGGCAACUUGAUUGCUUAGUAGCGUAGCUAACGCGUGAAAUUGACCGCCUGGGGAGUACGGCCGCAAGAUUAAAACUCAAAGGAAUUGACGGGGACCCGCACAAGCGGUGGAUGAUGUGGAUUAAUUCGAUGCAACGCGAAGAACCUUACCUGGUCUUGACAU